rnacentral:lncRNA from 1 species
AAUCUACUAGAACCUUCUAUCCACAAUAGGGGGUUCCGAAACUUUUUCUUUCCUUGGUCUCUGCAAAAGAGCACCUACUGGUAGAAAGUACAAAGGAAAGAGAAACUCUUUGCAAAAGGUCUACGACAGACCUGAGGCAGUGGCGCAAUCUCGGGCCUUCCCUCUUCCCUGGAAGAAGAAUCUCUCAUUGCCCUAUUUUCCCCAGUCUCUGAAAUUACAACGUAUAUACAUUAGACAUCAGGGACCACCUCCAAAUACUAAAUAAAAUUGGCCCAUAAAGAAUACUGUACCUUCUCCAGGAGCCGAUUCGGGAUUGACAUUUGGAGCCAGGGGAGCAGAAGCUCUGCGUUUCCUUUGGAGUAGCACUUCUUCUUCGUCUUCAUCAUUAUCCUCUACCAGAGGGGCCUUCCCUUUAUCUCCAGGACCUGGAUUCGAACCAGAAUAAUGAGAAAGGAUGGGUGAGACAGAAGUCCUUUCCAUGCUUCUUUCUUCUGGGAGAACACCGCCAGAAGAUAAAACAGCACCUCUAGUCGCGAUUAGGAAAAAAAAAAAAAAGAAUCAGUCUCUUUCAGAUAGGAAAGAAGCGAAAUUCUGACAAGAACCUUAGCAAUGUCCUCAGGGCCACUCGGUUCGCCCAAGACGGUCUCUGUCAAAAUACCAAAAACAAUCCAAAUUGUUAGAAAAUGGUAUAUCAGGCUUAAGCCAAAAAUCAAUUGGUAGAAAUUUACCUAUCACUGCCAUCCCUUGAAGAUGUAUCAACCUUCUCAUCAGAGACGCUUCUUCUUGUUCUGUCAUCACUUUGGCAAAAGGGCAAUUCUAGAAGGCCAAAACAUAAAGGAGCUUGGCGGACUCUAGAAGCCAAGAAAACAACCUGUUUUCCCAAAAGACGUGAAAGGCUGGAGUAUAGACAAGAGAUGGAUCAUAGGGAGGCACCCUCACCCUGUUGCUCCUGUUCUUCCAGGACGUUCUCACAGCUUUAAUUUCUUGAGGUGUCAUGGUCAAAUUCUACCAAGAGCUCCCCUUAUUCACAGAACUAUACCUUAGUUCUAGAACAGCCUGGACAAGCCAGAAUUGUCUACUCACAAAUUGAGGAUUGUAAGCCUCCACUCCAUAUGCACACCUCUUGUCUGUAUGGGCCUCGCCAAAGAAAAGAUGACGGCUAGACAGAUAGGAGAUGCUCAUGUCAGCACGAAGCUUGGACAUGAAAUCAGUCAGCUUCCUCCAAUGCCACAGAGCUUGAUGAAGGCCCCUCUCCACAAACCAAGGCUUAUUGCAAGAUAGAGAACGGAGCUAGGUUUCUUUCUCUCUCUGCUUGCAAUCUCUGAAAAAUACAAAACACUCUUUAGUACUGACCGG